rnacentral:lncRNA from 1 species
UCGAGUCUCCCAAAACUUGAACAAACGAUCCGGUUCCAGCCGCUAGCAACCCUUUCUGGCUGAAACUCAGCGUCUUGGCGUGGAAACCGUGGAUGGUCUGAACCUCCUCGAACUUGCGAAGGUCCCAGAUCUUGACUUUGCGCUCUUUACCAGACGUGGCCAUGAGAUGACCGUUCGGAUGAAAGGCAACAGCAGAGACCGGUCCAGGGUGGCACUGCAUUUGGACCAGAGGUGCUUGGCUGGUGGGUUUCCACAUCGUGACGGUUCCACCGGAAUGUCCCAAGGCGACAACGCCGUUGUAGGGAUUCACUUCCAUUACGUCUGUUCUGCCUUUGCCUGUACGGAUGCUAGCCACCAUGUCGCCGUAGGUAACGUCUUGGUAGUGUAGCUGACCGAUUUUGUUUAUUGAUGCGAGGAGGAAAUGGUUCUUUAGGAACCGGAGUCUGGCUACUGGACCACGCUCCUGAAGUUAGGCAAGAACAGGUGUAAGUUUCAUUAUUUGAUCCAUAUAGUUGUAUAUCAACAAAAAAAAGACAGUAAGCCUCACCUUCAGACAAUGGAGCUCAGUUCCAUCUCUCGCGUAAAUAUAAGAAUACCUGUAAGAAAACAAAGAGUCAAAAUAUUAGUCCAAGUACCCUCCAAGACACAAGGAGGCAUAAGGAUAUCCCCUCUCGUCGGCUUCUCCUUCCUCCUCGACGGCCUCAUCGCCCCGAUCUUCGAAGGAUCAAGCAUGAUCGUCUCAGGUGGAAGCUUAUCAAGAAGCAAAUGAACUUCCUUCUCCCUCCUCUGCUUCGACGUCUCAAACGGAUUAGCCACCCAAGAGUCGAAGUUAGGCUCCCCAGACCCUGGAAUGAGGACGCUCGACCAUCCCAUCGAGUGGCCGAUCCCGAGAACAUCCUCAUACGGUCUGAACAUAACCUUCUCCACCUGGUAGCCUUUCACCAUCGGGUGACUCAUGUAUCUACUAUGGCCGCCACCACUCGAGUCUCCCAAAACUUGAACAAACGAUCCGGUUCCAGCCGCUAGCAACCCUUUCUGGCUGAAACUCAGCGUCUUGGCGUGGAAACCGUGGAUGGUCUGAACCUCCUCGAACUUGCGAAGGUCCCAGAUCUUGACUUUGCGCUCUUUACCAGACGUGGCCAUGAGAUGACCGUUCGGAUGAAAGGCAACAGCAGAGACCGGUCCAGGGUGGCACUGCAUUUGGACCAGAGGUGCUUGGCUGGUGGGUUUCCACAUCGUGACGGUUCCACCGGAAUGUCCCAAGGCGACAACGCCGUUGUAGGGAUUCACUUCCAUUACGUCUGUUCUGCCUUUGCCUGUACGGAUGCUAGCCACCAUGUCGCCGUAGGUAACGUCUUGGUAGUGGAGCUGGCCGAUUUUGUUUACUGAUGCGAGGAGGAAAUGGUUUUUUAGGAACCGGAGUCUGGCAACUGGACCACGCUCCUGAAGUUAACCAAGAACAGGCAUAAGUUUCAUUAUUU